GUUUAUGGUUAGGGUUAUGGUUGGGGUUAGGGUUAUGGUUGGGGUUAUGGUUGGGGUUAGGGUUAUGGUUGGGGUUAUGGUUGGGGUUAGGUUAGGAGACAUUCAUCCCUACCCCAAAAGGAGUAGAGGAAGCACAGGCACAGACUUUAUUAAUUUUUCCAAAAUAGUAUGUUACCCUUAAACACGUCAGUGUCCAUAGAGGAAAAAAUAAAUAAUAAAUAAUAAAUAGGGAUUUAGACUCAAGUUGGGUCAGAUAUCAGACUGUCAAUCAAAGUUUCACCAGGGACAGGACCAGGAGGGGGACUGGGUUGUGGUUAGGGGUCAGGAUUUUUUUAUUUUUUUUUUAACUCCUGACACUCUUCUGUCACACACACACACACUCCUGACACUCUUCUGUCACACACACACACUCCUGACACUCUUCUGUCACACACACACACACUCCUGACACUCUUCUGUCACACACACACACACUCCUGACACUCUUCUGUCACACACACACACUCCUGACACUCUUCUGUCACACACACACACCUGACACUCUUCUGUCACACACAACACUCCUGACACUCUUCUGUCACACACACACACUCCUGACACUCUUCUGUCACACACACACACUCCUGACACUCUUCUGUCACACACACACACUCCUGACACUCUUCUGUCACACACACACACUCCUGACACUCUUCUGUCACACACACACACUCCUGACAAUCUUCUGUCACACACACACUCCUGACACUCUUCUGUCACACACACACACACUCCUGACACUCUUCUGUCACACACACACACUCCUGACACUCUUCUGUCACACACACACACACUCCUGACACUCUUCUGUCACACACACACACACUCCUGACACUCUUCUGUCACACACACACACUCCUGACACUCUUCUGUCACACACACACACCUGACACUCUUCUGUCACACACAACACUCCUGACACUCUUCUGUCACACACACACACUCCUGACACUCUUCUGUCACACACACACACUCCUGACACUCUUCUGUCACACACACACACUCCUGACACUCUUCUGUCACACACACACACUCCUGACACUCUUCUGUCACACACACACACUCCUGACAAUCUUCUGUCACACACACACUCCUGACACUCUUCUGUCACACACACAACACUCCUGACACUCUUCUGUCACACACACAACACUCCUGACACUCUUCUGUCUCAUACACACUCACAACACUCCUGACACUCUUCUGUCACACACACACACACACACACUCCUGACACUCUUCUGUCUCACACACACACAACACUCCUGACACUCUUCUGUCACACACAGACACACACACUCCUGACACUCUUCUGUCUCAUACACACACACAACACUCCUGACACUCUUCUGUCACACACACACACUUCUGACACUCUUCUGUCACACACACACACACUCCUGACACUCUUCUGUCUCAUACACACACAACACUUCUGACACUCUUCUGUCACACACACACUCCUGACACUCUUCUGUCUCAUACACACACACAACACUCCUGACAC